rnacentral:lncRNA from 1 species
GUGAGUUGAAUCCUGUUCAAUGUUUCAAAUGCCACCACCUGACUUCAAACAUCUCAAAGACCCACACACUGUGACUUUUUGUCUUGUUUUGUUUUUGCCUGUUUUGUGCCCCUAUUCGGAAGACCUGGUCAACCCCACCAAGAGUUUGCUCCGAUGUUUCUAAAAUCAAUUGUGCACGGAAAUACUUCCUUCCUGGAAGAAGGAGUCAUGAGAAGAGUUCAGUGCUGAGCGAGAAUGAAAGUGGGAGGCAGGACCAUGUGUUAUGAGGGACCAGUGAAAAAGCCUGAGGGGAGGGAGGGACAGAGGCAAAAAGCCUUUGAGACCAGACCUAGUUUCAACUUGACUGUGAGUCUACUUCAAGCCUUUGAGACCAGACCUAGUUCCAACUUGACUGUGAGUCUGUUUCCGGCUCUUUCUUUCACAAGAUGGCCUUGGGCUAAAUGGGCUUUAGGCCCUAAAACCCUGGCGUUCCUAACCAGGAACAUAAAGGCCACGGGUGCCCCCAGUUUCUGAAGUUAUUUGGGUGCUGGUGCCCUAAGUUGAGGAUCUCCUCAUUCUGAGAAACAAUAGACAAUGUCACAAUGUUGAAUGCGGGUGGAUGCUACAUUACAGUUCAGUCACCAAGAGUCAAGAGACCUCUAGGGGGACCUGAGUCCCAUUCCCAACAGAGGAUCACAACGCUUGGUUAACUCCAGCUCCAGGACAUCUGAUACCUUCUUCUGGCUUCCUCUGGAUCCUGAACAUGCAAGGCAAAUAUCCACAUGAAAUUCAUACAUACGAAGAUCCUGACACUUCCACUGUUCUCCAAGGGCUACAGAGGAGCAAGGCUGUGCUUCCUGUGCUGUGGUCUGGCUGGCUAGACACCUGGAAGUCAGUGAUUCCACUCUUUCUCCCAAAGACUUCAUAAGAAAAAAGCCCUAGAGGACGCUGCAUAGCAAGACUGUUAAAAGAUACCAGACUCUGGAGGCAAACUGUCUAACAAAGACUCUGGCUGGAUCUAUGACCUCCUUCUCUCCGAAGCCCAGUUUCCUUAUUCACAAACUGGGACUGAUGAUAGAUACCUAUGUUAUGGUGCGCUGUAAGGAUGACACAAUAUAACACGUGGAAUACUUGGACAGCACAGAUAUUAGGCUUUGAUGAGUGUUGUCUUUACAUCAUAGUUUUAUCUUAUUUUUAAUUAUGUGCAUGUAUGUGUUUGUGUGCGUGUGUGUGAGUUCCUGAGGAGGCCAGGGGUGUGGGCCUAGAGCUAGAGUUACAGGUGCUUGUGUGCUGCCUGAAGAGGGUGCUGAUAACGGAACUGAGAUCCUCUGUGAGAGUGAACCUUUACCCACUGAGCCUUCUCCCCAAGCCCUGAUAAACGUAUUCUUAUCAUCACUAAUU